rnacentral:tRNA from 1 species
AGAGGAAUUAACGAGGUUACUGCUAAUAAUCUCUUGUCAGUUAAAUCUGACUUUCUCUU